rnacentral:rRNA from 1 species
UACGUAGGGUGCAAGCGUUGUUCGGAAUUACUGGGCGUAAAGAGUGUGUAGGCGGUGUUCCAAGUCUGGUGUGAAAUCUCCCGGCUCAACUGGGAGGGUGCGCCGGAAACUGGAAUGCUAGAGGGUGGGAGAGGUAAGCGGAAUUCCUGGUGUAGCGGUGAAAUGCGUAGAUAUCAGGAGGAACACCUGUGGUGUAGACAGCUUACUGGACCACUUCUGACGCUGAGACACGAAAGCGUGGGUAGCAAACAGG